rnacentral:lncRNA from 1 species
UAGAAGUUCGGAGUAGACCACUCGUAGUAGAAGUUCAGAGUAGACCGCUCAUAGUAGAAGUUUAGAGUAGAUCACUCAUAGUGGAAGUUCGGCUCUCGCAGGAGCUUGGUUGGAAUCCUGAAGACAGUCGACCGCCGUAGAAACUUGGACGGAGUCUGAUUACUGUAGAAAUCUCACUGUCGGAGAAGCUCAGAUAUUGACGAAGUCCGAAAGAAGUUUGAAAAAUAGUUGAUCACUGUAGAAGGUCGACUGAUAGUGAGGCCCAGAGAGCUUUUGGGACGGCCCGGC